rnacentral:misc_RNA from 1 species
GUGUUAACCGGCAGAGCUUCUUUGCCCUCAUCGCCACUAGACGCGCUACUGUCUUCUUCCUCCGAAGACCAAACCCAUUCUCCUGUAACUGUUCUGUGUAGACGACCCGAUGUACCGGGUUGUCUCUUUGAAGCCUAGAAUAAAUACAAAAAUAAUAAAGUAUAAAUAUAAAUUAUAAACUAUUAGUUUAUAAAAAUUUAAUAAGGAAAAAUAUACCUUUUGUACUCGAGUUUCGAGACUAGGACCACAAGCUACCAAAGUCUGCUGUAAAUACUUUUUAUCCUUUGCUUUUUUGAAGAAUGGAUGUUUCAGCAGCUCUGUUGCUGUUGGCUUUGUAUUGGUCUUUAUCGUCGGCGGCAGUAUCUAAAGUUGGUGGGUCAUUCUGCAGAGUUAACAUCAGCACCUUCAUUGGUGGAUACUUAUGGUAUGGAGCUGUACCACUGGCCAUUUCGAUGGCAGUGAUGCCAAGCGACCAAAUAUCUGCUUUGAAAUCAUAGCCAUGGUCCUGCAAGGAUAUUUGCAUAUCAUAAUUGAUUUUAC